AAGUACUUUGUCACUUCUGUGGAACAUUAUUCUAAGCAGAAUUAUCCCGAUUCAUAUAUUCUAAGAAUCUUGUGUGAAUUGUUUACGAGGAAAUUCCGACUGUCACAUUAACAAGGAUGAACACUCUUGACUCUGCUUUGGAUUUCCCAGUGAUAAUUGUAUCUAGUGAUGAAAGAGCUGACGGCGACAUUUUAAUGUAUGAUUGGCUUGGACCAUUGGAAUGAAGUCAUUUCAUGGUGCCACCACUUGGGAUGGUAUUAGCUGCAAAUAUAGACUUGUACUCAGCACUUAUUGCCUUUAAGAAGUAUGAGAUCCAUUUUGUGCUAACACCUACCGUGACACAGAAUCUUGGUUUAUGCAGUCUCAUAGGAGUAACCUGUCUAAAGCAUUUAGCAAUGGGAUUGGAACCUGCGACGUGUGACUCAUCUGAAGACUGAAUUUUUAUACCAAGCAUGACCAUGAUUUGCCAGAAGAUCAUCUGUUUGGAUGUGACAUGGAAUAAACAGCAUAGUGAAAAUAAGUCAAGUUUUGGUUUGUGAAGACAAUUUUUAAACACACUGUGUAUCAUUUUUAAAUUUUGAUUUGACAACAUAAAUCCACAAAUAUGAACAUAUCAAUUGCUCUCAGUUUUUCAAGUGAAAUAGUUUUUGUAACAGAAAUACAUGUACCAGUAAUUACAUUGGAAUAA